rnacentral:rRNA from 1 species
ACUUUGAUUCUGGCUCGGGACGAACGCUGGCGGCGCGCCUAACACAUGCAAGUCGAGCGGGAAGCUUUUUAAGGAUUCUUCGGAUGAAUUAAAAAGUGGAGAGCGGCGGACGGGUGAGUAACGCGUGAGAAACCUGCCCUAUACAGGGGGAUAGCCAUUGGAAACGAUGAUUAAUACCCCAUAUGACCACAGUAUCGCAUGAUACAGCGGUGAAAACUCCGGUGGUAUAGGGUGGUCUCGCGUCUGAUUAGCUAGUUGGUGGGGUAACGGCCUACCAAGGCGACGAUCAGUAGCCGGCCUGAGAGGGUGACCGGCCACACUGGAACUGAGACACGGUCCAGACUCCUACGGGAGGCAGCAGUGGGGAAUAUUGCACAAUGGGCGAAAGCCUGAUGCAGCGACGCCGCGUGAACGAUGAAGGCUUUCGAGUCGUAAAGUUCUGUUCUUGGGGAAGAUAACGACGGUACCCAAGGAGAAAGCACCGGCUAAAUACGUGCCAGCAGCCGCGGUA